GUAAUAAAAGCUUAAAUUGUGUAAGCGCUGGUCUUGUAAGCCGGAGAGUGAAAAUAUGUUUCUUAUUACU
rnacentral:tRNA from 1 species